rnacentral:rRNA from 1 species
UCGAGAAUCUUCCGCAAUGGGCGAAAGCCUGACGGAGCGAUGCCGCGUGAGGGAUGAAGGUCUUCGGAUUGUAAACCUCUGUCACUGGGGACGAAAAAAAUGACGGUACCCGGAGAGGAAGCUACGGCUAACUACGUGCCAGCAGCCGCGGUAAUACGUAGGUAGCGAGCGUUGUUCGGAUUUAUUGGGCGUAAAGGGUUCGCAGGGGGUUGAUUAAGUCUGAUGUGAAACCCUACAGCUUAACUGUAGAACUGCAUUGGAUACUGGUCAACUAGAGUAUCGCAGAGGAGAGUGGAAUUCCAGGUGUAGCGGUGGAAUGCGUAGAUAUCUGGAGGAACACCAAAGGCGAAGGCAGCUCUCUGGGCGAUUACUGACCCUCAGGAACGAAAGCGUGGGUAGCAAACA